rnacentral:lncRNA from 1 species
AGCAUCCAUGCUCCCUGUGCUCAUGUCAUUAUGUAGCUGUUCCAAUAUCUGCUUGUGUGGUUGGUGGUUUGUCAUCUGGAGGCUAUGGUUGUUGCCCACCAUGGAUUGCAGGCUGUUCUGUAUCUCAGGCAAAUCUAUUUCCUGGUGACAUACUCUUUCUUCUUGGCCCUUUAUCUCCGUGUCUCUAAAAAUUUUUCAGUUGCAUGCUAAAACUGUGGUUCACAUUAGGUGCUCAUGCCUCUGGUGCUGGGUGUCCUGCUCAAAGUGGAACUUGUUCUAUUGGCGCAUCAUACUCAAUGGAUGCUGCAAAACAAUCUACUCAUGCAGAUGAUGAAGUUGUAAAAGC